rnacentral:rRNA from 1 species
UACGUAGGGUGCAAGCGUUGUCCGGAAUUAUUGGGCGUAAAGAGCUCGUAGGCGGUUUGUCGCGUCGGCCGUGAAAACUUGGGGCUUAACUCCAAGCUUGCGGUCGAUACGGGCAGACUUGAGUUCGGCAGGGGAGACUGGAAUUCCCGGUGUAGCGGUGGAAUGCGUAGAGAUCGGGAAGAACAUCGGUGGCGAAGGCGGCCAGCUGGGCCGUUGCUGACGCUGAGGCGCGACAGCGUGGGGAGCAAACAGG